CUGCACCUCUGUAUGUUAUACCCUGCUUUCAGUCUGUGUUUGUGGGACAUUUACAUUGGUGCAAAAAGUAUAUGCUGCUCCUUGUAGCAGCAGCGGCCAGACAACCGUAGAGAUAGAUCCACAGAUGAAUGGCCCCUAUGCUGUUUGCCUACUAAUUCUAUCUCACAUUU